rnacentral:lncRNA from 1 species
GUUGGUUUUUCACCUCAACGGAUUUGGGUGAGUCGAGGAAAGACCAGUCAAUUUCGCUUAAAUACCGCCCAAACAUAGCUUUGCGUGAAGGUCUCAUAUCACGUUUAUAGACGACUUUCUUCUGGUUAGACUUAGGGUCUCGGAGUUUAGGAGAGACAGCAAUUACAGAAUGAUCAGAAAGGCCGAAGGGCGGAAAUGCGAUGAUGGAGUCCGAUAGAUAGAAAGGAUCUAGGUUUGUGAGCACUAGGUCAAGUGUAUUGCCCCCUCUUGUUGGUAUCUUCACAAGUUGUUUUAAACCAAAAUUUAUGCGUAACUGUUUUAUAUCUAAGCGAUUAAAGUCACCAGCCAAAAUUAAACCACAACCAGGAUAGAGACUCUCAACCCGGGUCAGUGAUGCAAUUAGGUACUCCAAGAUUUCAUUAUCGUCUGAAGACGGGGGGUGGUAGAUAGUAGCAGUAAUUAUGCACGAAACACCUCUGGGUAACCUGGCCGGCCGUACAUAAACCCACAUAACUUCCAAAUUCGGACAUUCCAAGUUAUAUAAACGGAAUGUUUUAUAUUUCGAAUUGGAAAACAAACAGACGCCCCCAUGAAUUCCAAUUCGACGAUCCAACCGUUCGAGGUUGUAGCCAGGGAGGAUAAGUUGAUCAUCCCCAACAUUACUUUUUAGCCACGUUUCAGAAAUGAAGAAUAAAUCAAUACUAUGAGUUUCAGUAAAAACACGAAUUUCGUCAAUUUUCGGAAGAAGUGACAUGACGUUAGUUAAUACAAUAUUAGGAACAAAUUCCCGAGAUCUGGAUUGGUUCUUUAACAUGGUGCUGGAAUGAGUAUUUUGUUUAUAAUCUAUUGGGACUUCAAUUACAUUGAAUCUAUUACUCGUUGUGAUGGGACUUCUGUAAGGUUUUCUCUGAGUUAGACGUACAUUAAUUGGUUGGGAUUUAUCAUUGCCAGUGUAAUCACUUAAAAAUAAGGGUAGGGUAUGCUCAUUAGUGGCCGUAGGUAUAACCAAGUUUAAAAGGUUUGCUCUAUUAAACGACAAUUUUUUUAUUGCAUUUAGUUGAUUUUACAAGCAAUGAAGUUCCAGUUCAUGUUAAACUAGAAGCAUUCAAUCCUUGUAUUCCGUUAUGUGCCAAUGACAGUGCUAUUCCAAUGAUCAUAUUCAAUUACACUGUUACCAACCCGUCUGAUAAAGCAGUCAAGGUAAGGGCAUUAUCCCCGAGCCACGCGCUAAGGCAAAGCCCGUGGCGAGGGUACUAAUUCCGCUCGGCUAUUUACCCCCGGGGGAAAGGAAAGCAUUAGCGAAGUCUAAAGUUCACCAAUGAUUGCGGGCGCAUGGCUAUGCAUGGGCACAGAUGAAGUUAAUCUAUGGCAUGGGUGGUCAUCUCACUGAUCUCAAAAAUAAGUGAAGGAAGCAAAGAUUAAAAAACAUGCAUGACAGAAAGUUUGGACAUCUUUGCACACAAUAAGUUGUAAAUCACCUCUUUGAAAUCUUAAAGAAAGUAUGAGAAAUCCUGAAGUAUAGGGUAAGUUUGUUUUUACUGUUUAUGUAUGACUUUUCUGUCCAGUUUUCGGAGUUUUUGCCUUAUUAAUAUGUACAGCUUUCCUUUUCAUUCUAUGACUAUGUGAAAGUUUCUUUGAGGAAAAAAUAUUUUCAAGAGCGACCAGUAUGACUUAAAUUUAUUUCAUUUCAAAGUACGAGUAAUAAGUUGAAGAGUUUAUCGGCAAAAAAACAGUUAAUUUCAAUGAACAUUAAAAACGUUUGGUACUUUACCGCCGCAAGUAUUUAAAGGUGUGUGUUCUGAUGGCGAGUU